rnacentral:rRNA from 1 species
UACGAAGGGGGCUAGCGUCGUUCGGAAUCACUGGGCGUAAAGCGCGUGUAGGCGGAUUGUUAAGUCAGGGGUGAAAUCCCGAGGCUCAACCUCGGAACUGCCUUUGAUACUGACGAUCUAGAGUCCGGGAGAGGUGAGUGGAACUCCUAGUGUAGAGGUGAAAUUCGUAGAUAUUAGGAAGAACACCAGUGGCGAAGGCGGCUCACUGGCCCGGUACUGACGCUGAUAUGCGAAAGCGUGGGGAGCAAACAGG